rnacentral:rRNA from 1 species
ACGAACGCUGGCGGCGUGCUUCACACCUGCAAGUCGAACGGAAAGGCCCUGCUUUUGUGGGGUGCUCGAGUGGCGAACGGGUGAGUAACACGUGAGUAACCUGCCCUUUAUUUUGGGGUAACUUCAGGAAACUGGGGCUAAUACCGGAUAGGAGCUCCUUCUGCAUGGUGGGGGUUGGAAAGUUUCGGCGGUUGGGGAUGGACUCGCGGCUUAUCAGCUUGUUGGUGGGGUAGUGGCUUACCAAGGCUUUGACGGGUAGCCGGCCUGAGAGGGUGACCGGCCACAUUGGGACUGAGAUACGGCCCAGACUCCUACGGGAGGCAGCAGUGGGGAAUAUUGCACAAUGGGCGGAAGCCUGAUGCAGCAACGCCGCGUGCGGGAUGACGGCCUUCGGGUUGUAAACCGCUUUCGCCUGUGACGAAGCGUGAGUGACGGUAAUGGGUAAAGAAGCACCGGCUAACUACGUG